rnacentral:rRNA from 1 species
UAAGGAAUAUUGGUCAAUGGGCGCAAGCCUGAACCAGCCAUGCCGCGUGCAGGAAGACGGCCCUACGGGUUGUAAACUGCUUUUAUUCGUGAAUAAAUCACCUUACGUGUAAGGUGUUGAAAGUAGCGAAAGAAUAAGGAUCGGCUAACUCCGUGCCAGCAGCCGCGGUAAUACGGAGGAUCCAAGCGUUAUCCGGAUUUAUUGGGUUUAAAGGGUGCGUAGGCGGAUUAUUAAGUCAGAGGUGAAAUUUUGCGGCUCAACCGUAAGCUUGCCUUUGAUACUGAUAAUCUUGAAUUAACUUGAGGUAGGCGGAAUGUGACAAGUAGCGGUGAAAUGCAUAGAUAUGUCACAGAACACCAAUUGCGAAGGCAGCUUACUAAGGUUAUAUUGACGCUGAGGCACGAAAGCGUGGGGAUCAAACAGG